GUCGCUGCAAAAUCAGCGAACGGGUUUGGCGACCCGAUCUACCGAAUGGCGCAUGUGCGCCCCAUGACCAUUGCUGGCGCAUUUUUU
rnacentral:sRNA from 1 species